rnacentral:lncRNA from 1 species
CUCCUUCUUCUCACUUUCCCUCCUUUGAAUUUUAUAAAAAACACAUAAAGCAAACCUCUUUUCACAAAGUUUUUCCCACACCAAAAUUCUCAUCAUACUACUCUCACUCUUUCUUUCCUUCUUUCCUCUCUCCACACUCAUCACUCUCACUAUAUUUCCUUCCAAGCUUUCUCCCAUCUCUCUCUUUCCACAACCUCAAUUCUUUUCUCAAUGGAGAACAACCCACUUCACCUUUUACCUCAUCUC